rnacentral:rRNA from 1 species
GACGAACGCUGGCGGCGUGCUUAACACAUGCAAGUCGAACGGAAAGGCCCUGCUUUUGUGGGGUGCUCGAGUGGCGAACGGGUGAGUAACACGUGAGUAACCUGCCCUUGACUUUGGGAUAACUUCAGGAAACUGGGGCUAAUACCGGCUAGGAGCUCCUGCUGCAUGGUGGGGGUUGGAAAGUUUCGGCGGUUGGGGAUGGACUCGCGGCUUACCAGCUUGUUGGUGGGGUAGUGGCUUACCAAGGCUUUGACGGGUAGCCGGCCUGGGAGGGUGACCGGCCACAUUGGGACUGAGAUACGGCCCAGACGCCUACGGGAGGCAGCAGUGGGGAAUAUUGCACAAUGGGCGGAAGCCUGAUGCAGCAACGCCGCGUGCGGGAUGACGGCCUUCGGGGUGUAAACCGCUUUCGCCUGUGACGAAGCGUGAGUGACGGUAAUGGGUAAAGAAGCACCGGCUAACUACGUG